rnacentral:rRNA from 1 species
UACGUAGGGCGCAAGCGUUGUCCGGAAUUAUUGGGCGUAAAGAGCUCGUAGGCGGUUUGUCGCGUCUGCUGUGAAAACCUAAGGCUCAACCUUGGGCUUGCAGUGGGUACGGGCAGACUAGAGUGCGGUAGGGGUGACUGGAAUUCCUGGUGUAGCGGUGGAAUGCGCAGAUAUCAGGAGGAACACCGAUGGCGAAGGCAGGUCACUGGGCCGCAACUGACGCUGGAGGAGCGGAAAAGCAUCGGGGAGCGAACAGG